GCAACAGUGUUGAGAAUGUUAUUUCCAUUCAAUGUGAUGUUGUCGACUGAUGCGGCAAGUGUCUGAAUCUGCUUUUGUGUUGGAUUGAAAGUGAUUUUUGUGCUUUGCAUGCUUAUGCUAUGUGUGCAUGCAUGUCUUAACACUGGUCAUGUUCUCCAAAGUAUCUGAUUAUGGUAUGAACGUUUUAGUUGAAUAUCAUCAUUUGAACCGGAAGUCCAGGAAAGUCUGCAGCAUCUGAAUCUGCUUUUGUUUUAGAAAGAGCUCUAGCUGAGAAGGCAGCCCAGGAGGCAAAACGGGCAGCUGCUACAGAUUCUUCCAGCAGUACUUCACAGAGAUAUUCAAAUUCCACAAAUCAAGCUUCCUACUCUAAUGGAAAGCAUCAAGGAGCUGAGGUUGAAGAUGUCAAGCAAGGUGGGAGAGGAAUCAACGGACAGUUGAACGUGCGGUAUGUGCCUUGUUCAAAACCUACAUGUCUGGGAAUGCACUUGACAGGUCUGCAACCUGUUUAUAUGAUAUUCUGUGUUAUGAGUAAUAGAGAUAAAAUAUUUUGCUGUAGGUGAUGUGGUUCUGUUUAAUUUGGGAGACAAGCUUCUUGAAUGGAAUUACUGUGAGCUUACAUUUUUUGUUUUCAUUUCAAAUUUCAGGCAAAAGCUCUUGCAGAGAAAAAUAUGCGUGACAUUCUUGCAUUUCUGUUUGUCUGACCCAAAUCAAAUCACGAUCUACUAGGUUAUUAUUAUCAUCUUAAAAGCAAUGUUGUAAGACCCAGACAGACCCUAACCUAUUUUUGUACGCAGUUUUACAAUGUCUGUACUGGAAACCAGAGAAGGGACUUCAAUUCCAUUUCUUAACUGUAGCCAAAUUGGCAUCUAACGUCUGAGACUUCAGUCCCAUUUCUUAACUGUAGCCGAAUUGGCAUGUCCUAGUUUCUUGUGGCAUAAAUCAAGUCAUCUUCCUCUUUUUUCUAGGUC